GGCAGCAGUGAGGAAUAUUGGUCAAUGGGCGCAAGCCUGAACCAGCCAUCCCGCGUGAAGGAUGAAUGCCUUAUGGGUUGUAAACUUCUUUUCUGAUGGAAGAACCCCCCCGACGAGUCGGGGGUUGCCGGUACAUCAGGAAUAAGCAUCGGCUAACUCCGUGCCAGCAGCCGCGGUAAUACGGAGGAUGCAAGCGUUAUCCGGAUUUAUUGGGUUUAAAGGGUGCGCAGGUGGCUUUGUAAGUCAGUGGUGAAAGUCUGCCGCUUAACGGUAGGACUGCCAUUGAUACUGCGGGGCUUGAGUUUGGAUGAGGUAGGCGGAAUGAGUAGUGUAGCGGUGAAAUGCAUAGAUAUUACUCAGAACACCGAUUGCGAAGGCAGCUUACUAAUCCGCAACUGACACUGAGGCACGAAAGCGUGGGGAUCAAACAGGAUUAGAUACCCGAGUAGUCC
rnacentral:rRNA from 1 species